AAAAGACAUGCUGGGUAAUUGCUGCACAGGAAAGGGGAAGCAGGAAGGAGUCCCUGCUUCCCCAACAUCCAGACUCCAAGAGCUCAACUCACUGCCUCCACUCCUCCCUGCCAGCCCAUAAUGGAAGGUAACUGCAUGUGUUUGACUGUAACUGUGUGUGUGACUAUCUGCCUCUGUGUGUGUGGCUGUAACUGUGUGUGACUGUGUCUUCCUCUGUGGGUAUGGCUGUCAGCCUCUGUGACAGGCUGGAAAUCACAACAUGGUCUGGAAACCCUUACGCUGCCAUGAACUUCUGCACUAACACAUUUCUGCUUUCCUUUUUAUCUGUUAUUAGCUGCUGGGAAUACUCAAAGAAGUCACACCAUUUCAGAUCGAUUAUCAAUAAGCAUUCAAAGGUUUAAUGUGUCGUACAUCGUAUAUAUAAAACACAGUUUGUCUAGGGGUGUAUACAUCAACAAAAACAUUAACCAAUCAUAGGAGUUUCAGAACCAAAAGUACAAUUUUUUAUAUAACAUUACUUAUUGCCGUUAGUUAGUCUCUUGUUAACUGAUGCACAUGACAGUCUUUGAUUUAGGAACCCAAUUAAAAGUUGCAGGUGCUAGAAAGAAUGCUAUUUUUUUCAAGUGCUGUAUAUACAUAAAAGAUAGGGAAAGCUGGUGUCAGACGAACACCAAAAACCAGAACAGAAAAAUAUUGUAUGCUUAAAAAAUGAGAGUUUAACCCUUUCAAAGCAUGAGUAUCUUGCAUUAUAAUCAGGCCUACUGACAAUUUGGUCUUUCAAGCUAUGUAUACAGUAUUACCUUAGCUAUGUAAUAAGAAAUACAGAAGUAGAAAGCAGGACAUGAGACUGACACCCUGUAACAUGAAAAAAAAAUAAAAAAAGAAACUGCUAUGUUUAUAAAUGGGUUAAUCCAGCCUCUAAAGCCUCUAGUGGCUGUCUCAUUGACAGCCGCUAGAGGCGUUUGCAUGCUUCUCACUGUGAAAAUCACAGUGAGAAGACGCCAGCGUCCAUAGGAAAGCAUUAUAAAUGCUUCCCUAUGAGACCGGCUGAAUGCGCGUGCAGCUCCUGCCGUGCAUUCAGCCGAAGAGGAGGAUCGGAGGCAUAGAGGAGAAGGAGUGCUCCCCGCUCGGCGCUGGAAAAAAGGUAAGUUUAACCCCUUUCCUUGCCAUCCAGCCCAGCGGGAGGGGGACCCUGAGGGUGGGGGCACUCUCAGGGCACUAUAGUGCCAGGAAAGCGUAUAUGUUUUCCUGGCACUAUAGUGGUCCUUUAACCCUGUAGCUGAAAACAUAGCAGUUUCAGAGAAACUGCUAUGUUUUACUGAGGGUUAAUCCAGCCUCUAGUGGCUGUCUCAUUGACAGCCGCUAUAGGAGCUUCCGCGAUUCUCAUUGUGAAAAUCACAGAGAGAAGACACUGAACGUCCAUAGGAAAGCAUUGAGUAAUGCUUUCCUAUGGGCGGUUUAAAUGCGCGCGCAUUCGGAGCUGAGAGGCGGAUCGGGGCGGAGGGAUCUCCAGCGCCAAGGGAGUCCGGCGCUGGAGAAAGGUAAGUGCUGAAGACACACACACACACUCUCACGAACAGACGCAUACACACUAGCUAACAGACACACACAUUUACUGACACACACUCACUGACAGACAGACACAUACACACUCACAAAACACACUCACUAACAGACGCACACAAACACACUCAGCAACACACACAAACUAACACACUCACUGACACACACAAACUAACACACACACUGACACAAAAACUAACACACACACUGACACAAAAACUAACACACACACACUCUAACACACACUUUUUUAAAAUAAAUUUUUUUUUUAACCCCCAGCCUUCCUACCUUAGGGAGUGCUGAGGGGAUUCCCUGGGGUCCAGUGGGGCUGGCCUGCGGCCGGUCCUGCGGGCUGGCUGGCGGGUGCGCGAGGGAGCACUCUCCACUGAGUGCUUCCUCUUCAGCUCCCUCGCGCGCUGCGUACUGAUGCCGGAGCCGGAAGAUGACGUCAUCUUCCGGCUCCGGUAUCAGUGAGGUGCGCAAGGGAGCUAUAGAGGAAGCACUCAGGGGAGAGGGCUCCCUCGCGCGCCCGCCAGCCCACCUGGUGACACCAUGGUCAGCUUUGGGGGGCCCUGAGGUGGCCGGCUCCUGGGCCCCCCAGGAGAAGAGGCUGGCACCAGUGGGUAUAUACCGGAUCACAGGGCGGCCGGGUCCCCUGGUGGGCCGGGCAUGGUCGCAGCCGCGACCCCUGCGACCCCGGUAUGUACACCACUGUGUAUGUGUAGGGGAAUAUUAACUAAGCAUUGCAUAUGUAAAACAAUUUGUUUCCAUCAGUGUGUGCCUCUGUUUGUGACUGAGACUGUGUCUGCCUCUGUGUGUGGCUGUGUCUGCCUUUGUGUGUGUGGCUGUCUGCCUCUGUGUGGCUGUAACUGUCUGCCUGUGUGUGUGUGGUUGUCUGCCUCUGUGUGUGUGUGGUUGUCUGCCUCUGUGUGUGAGUCUGUAACUGUGUGUGUGGCUGUCUGCCUGUGUGUGUGUGUGUGUGUGCGGCUGUCUGCCUGUAUGUGUGUGAGGCUGUCUGCCUCUGUGUGUGUGUGCCUGUCUGCCUCUGUGUGUGUGUGUAUCCGCCUGUGUGUGUGUGUGUGGCUUUCUGCCUGGGACAGAUCCACUAUAGCUCUCCCAAAUGUAGGGAGGCUGGGUGGACACAAGUUUGUUUUCCUGGCACUACAGUGGUCCUUUUAGGAGUACAACCAACCUGCAUAGUUAGGCAAAUAUCGGCAACUCAUACAUGUGGCCCACUAAUACCUGAUUAGCCUGCUUAAUGGAGUAUAAAUGUUUACCUUUAUCAAAAACGCAAUGCCACAUACCUUUAGCCUUAAGCACAACUAAUACUGUAUGCAUAUAUAGCAUAGCCUUUCCCCUACAAACUACUAUUGAAUCAUAGCCUGUUUUCACACUAUAAAAAAAUGUGCUGUUUUACAUGCCACAAAAUGUAUUGCUUCGUUACUGCUUGCAGCUGCUGUUGUGGCUCUGCACGCUUGUUUGUCACUUUAUGCACACGAAAAAAAAAAAAAAUGUUUCAGCAAUGUAUGGACCAAAAAAUAAAAAGAAACAACAAUAGUGCUCACUGUAUAAAAUCAACCAGAAGAAUAAAUAAGAGAAAAUUACUCACAUUUACCAGAGCAGACAAACUGCGCUAUGGAUAGGGCGCGGGUGGAAUAAUCCCCACCUAAGGAUUUCUUGAGUAGUUCUUACUGAAAGUAAAAUCAGGAUACCAGGCAAUAAAAUAAUAAAAGAAUAAUCACUGAGUAAAAAGAUUAAAAUGGCACACUCAAUGUAAAAGUAGCCAAAAUGCCAUUAUUAACACAGUAGCAAAACAAAAUUAAAAGUCCACAACGCAUUUCACCACAAGGGGCUUCUUCAAGUGUACAAAGUACUAACCUGUCACAUGUGGGUUUAUAUAGGGCCCAAACAAUCAAAAAAUUGAAAAGUGUGUCUUAUUUGACAUUUGACCCUAAAUGAGGUCACAUGACAUGUUUAAAAGGUCAAAGGACAUAUUAGCAGGUAUUGUGGGCGGUGUUAACAACGGAUGAGAAUACAUUGCACAGGAAUAUAUAUACAUAAAAAUAUAUACACUUAAAACUGUAGACCAUUAUAGGAUAUACAGAAUAAUAAAAUAAAUAUAAAAUCAGUUAUAUAUAAAACUGUAAAAACAAAAAACUGAGAAAGUAUGUACAGUUAAUUAUAGCUAUUUUUUUUUAAUAAAAAUGUGUAUAACUGAGAGUCAAAUUUAAAUUAUAUUUGUUUAGGAAUAAACCAUAUAAAGGGGGGUAAAAUAGGUAUUACCUACCUGGCUGAGACUGCAGUUUCAAGAGGGAUUAAGGGAGCAUGUAUAUGUAUAUGUGUGUAUAUAUAUAUAUAUAUAUAUGUAUAUAUAUAAACACAAGUAGCUUGGCACUCACCCUUUAAUCCAUAAUUUCCAAAUACAGUGCCUUGGCGAAAUCCCACGUAGAAAUAUAAACCAAAUUAGAAAAAGGGUGCACUCACAGGUCUUUCCAUAAAUUCAAUGGUGUUUAUUGAGGACUACCUUGAGGAAGAGCUGAACGGGUUGAAACGUUGAUCAGUUAUUUUUGUGACUUUAUAUUGAAUUUAUGUAAAGACAUGUGACACACACACACACACACACUUUCUCUCUCUCUCUCUCUCUCUCUCUCUCUCUCACCUCCCAUGUGAAAUCCAAGUAGAUCACAUCCACUGCAACACUCUAUACUUCUACUUACUUUUUAGUGGAAUGCAGUUAGGUUAGUUUGACGUGACCUACAGUUGUGCUCAAAACGUUGCAUACCCUGACAGAAAUUGUGAAAUUUUGGUAUUGAUUUUGAAAAUAUGACUGAUCAUGAAAAAAUUUCUAUGAAUGUCUUUUAUUAAAGUAUUGUGAUCAUAUGAAGCCAUUUAUUAUCACAUAGUUGUUUGGCUCCUUUUUAAAUCAUAAUGAUAACAGAAAUCACCCAAAUGGCCCUAAUCAAAAGUUUACAUUUUGGCCUUGUUACAGACACACAAGGUGACACACAAUUUAAAAUGGCAAUUAAUGGUUAAUUUCCCACACCUGUGACUUUUUAAAUUGCAAUUAGUGUCUGUGUAUACAUAGUGAAUGAGUUUGUUAGCUCUCGUGUGGAUGUACUGAGCAUACUAGAUACUGAGUCAUGGGGAGCAGAAAAGAACUGUCAAAAGACCUGCGUAACAAGGUAAUGGAACUUUAUUAAGGUGGAAAAGCAUAUAAAGAGAUAUCCAAAGCCUUGAAAAUGUCAGUAAGUAAUGUUAAAUCACUGAUUAAGAAGUGUAAAAUUUGGGGAUCUCUUGAUACCAAGCCAAGGUCAGGUAGACCAAGAAAGAUUUCAGCCACAAGUGCCAGAAGAAUUGUUCGGGAUACAAAGAAAAAUCCACAGGUAACCUCAGGAGAAAUACAGGCUGCUGUGGAAAAAGAUGGUGUGGUUGUUUCAAGGAGCACAAUACUUGAACAAAAAUACUGAGUUGUCGAGUUGCCAGAAAGAAGCCUUUACUGCGCCAAUGCCACAAAAAAGCCCAGUUACAAUAUCCCCGACAACAUCCUGACAUGCCUCACAGCUUCUAGCACACUGUAAUUUGGAGUGACAAGACCAAAAUAGAGCUUUAUGGUCACAACAAUAAGCGCUAUGUUUGGAGAUGGGCCAACAAGGCCUAUAGUGAAAAGAAUACCAUCCCCACUGUGAGGCAUGGUGGUGGCUCACUGAUGUGUUGGGGAUGUGUGAGCUCUAAAAGCACAGGGAAUCUUGUGAAAAUUGAUGGCAAGAUGAAUGCAGCAUGUUAUCAGAAAAUACUGGCAGAUAAUUUUCAUUCUUCUGCACAAAGGCUGUGCAUCGGAUGCUUUAGGACUUUACAGCAUGAUAAUGACCCUAAACACAAGGCCAAGUUGACCUUCCAGUGGUAACAGCAGAAAAACGUGAAGGUUCUGCAGUGGCCAUCACAGUCUCGUGACCUUAAUAUCAUCGAGCCACUCUGGGGAGAUUUCAAACGUUAAAAGGUGCUGUAACGGAGCUCCUUGUACUCCGACCGAGUACCCUCCGUUGACGGAUGCUCCUAGCGCUUCCUGAGGACUCCCAAGCACUGCAGCAGACACCGCAACCACCGCAGACUCCGCAACUGCCGUAUCUUGACUGGAGUCUCGCCGUCUUCCUUCCACCCUGGAUCAGCUUCUGUCCUCCAGGACUGUGUGGGAAAGAACUCUUCCUUCCACCCUGUAUGAACCUCCAGCAUCCAGGACUGUGUGGUGAAGACCCCUCCUCCAAGGAGAGCGUGUCAGGAACAAGCUCUUAAAAGAGCUAAGUGACUCAAGCUCAGGGGAACAUGCAGAGCAUAGCAAUCCCCAGUGUGAUUAUAACAGCUCCCUCCAAUAACGAGACAAGGCUACGUUUAGAGGGAUCAAGAAGAACUGUCAAAACCUUUAUUCCCUUGGGACCAGCCAAUACAGUCACCACAAUAACAUUGUUGUGAAACCUCAAUAAAAUCACAAACAGUCAAACCAUAUCAAGAAACACACAGUGACUUAUCACAACACAAUGGCACAUUUUUAAAGGGGUGGGGGGAGACAAUAUUUAACAGUAAAUAUCUCACCUGCCUGCAGAAUUAGCAAUAUGCAAAUCUACCCGAAUAUGCAAAUGAACCAGUCUUGCAAUUCAGGUAGUGCAUAUUGCUGUUGCUACCAACAGAGGGCACUAGACCAGCUCCAUAGCCAAACCCACCUAGUUGGUAGCAAACCUCAGCAGUACAGGAGAGAAGGCAAUACAUUUCACAGUACACACACACACUAUAAACAAUUACAUUACACACACCCUGCACCUAUCAUGGGUACAGGGUGACUAAAACAUAGGAUAAAUAAAGCAGCCCACAUAAAUAGUCUGUCUGAAGGUAGACUAGGGGCUUUAAAGCCAGAUAGAUGAAAGAGUCAUAGUCACAGGGGAGGAGGCUGGCAAGUAGGCCUCUCCAGGACCAAGUGGCGAAGGGCACUUCAUCACAUAUCUCCCCUUCGGGGGGAAGACUAACCAGGCACCUGACUUUCUGUCGGUCAGUGCCUAAGUUAGUCGAGUCACCCACCGACCAUAAGCAAGUGCCAGAGUAGCCCACCCACAACAAACAGUUAUUAGAGUAGCCCACCCAUAGCAAACAGUGACUGCACCUGGGUAUUCCUCUGGGGUGAUGGGGCAACACGCUGUGGGGACUUGAGGGGCAGAGGCCAGCGGCGCUCUGCCCUGAUGCCAGCGCUUCUGCUGGGAGGAGGGGGGUGCAGGCCAGUCCUGUGACAAGGGGAUCGGUAGGGCAGAGGCCAGCGGCGGUCUGCCCUGAUGCCAGCUCUUCUGCUGGUAUAGCCUGCAGGACAUCAGGCUCUGGACAAGGGACAAAGGGAGGGCAGAGGCCGACUGCACUCUGCCCAGCUGCCAGCUCUUCCGCUGGGGGGCUUGGGACAUAGUCCGGCUCAGUAGCCAGGGGAACGUGGGGGUCAGUGGGGGUUAACAUCUCCCCUGUUAACCCUGGGGCCAAGUUAGGAGUUAGCUGGGGAGGGGAAUUCGUACUUACCCCCUCCUCCUGUUGUCCCUGUGAGGGUAGUUGGGGAUCUGGACAGGCUUUCCAGCAUCCCUGUAGGUCGGGCACAGAGACCACGGUCCCCUCUGCGCCAUCUGGGAGAUUGGUGUCUGCCCUUGGUAGGGUAAGCUGCCGCUGGGGAGAUAGGGUGCUGUGCUCCUCUCCCUGAAACACAGGCUGCCGCUGGAGAGGGAGACCGCCUGUCUCCACUCCCAUAACAUUGUCCUGCUGCUGGAGAGAGAGACCAACUGUCUCUGCUCCCUGUAGGACACACUGCUGCUGGGGGGGAAGGACGACACCUUCGGCCCCCUGGAAUUCGCACUGCCGCUGGGGAGUUAGGACGACACCUUCGGCUCCCUGUAACUUGCACUGCCGCUGGGGAGGAAGGAUGACACCUUCGGCUCCCUGUAACUUGCACUGCCGCUGGAGACUAGGUGUCCAUAUCCUCAACCUCCACAGUUGUCGCUCAAAGGCCAUUGCCGCACUGUUCUCAGCACUCAACUGGCUCAUUACUUGGUGGACCACCUCGUUCGAAAGGUCUGGGCCAUAGCAGACCAACCGCCUCUUUACCUCCUCAAUGUAAGCGUCGUCCUCGUAGCGACGUAUCCUGUUGAGGUGCUCUUCGCAGGGCUCUAUCCAUACCUGCUCCAUGCUGCUGUAGUUAGGGACGCUACACAGUGGCUAGCGUUGCCCUCAAUAACCUCUCAUAUGAUACCAGUGUCUCCGAGCUGCUUCUCCUCGCACUAGGACGCCAUCCCACCGCUGCCACCAAUGUAACGGAGCUCCUUGUACUCCGACCGAGUACCCUCCGUUGACGGAUGCUCCUAGCGCUUCCUGAGGACUCCCAAGCACUGCAGCAGACACCGCAACCACCGUAUCUUGACUGGAGUCUCGCCGUCUUCCUUCCACCCUGGAUCAGCUUCUGUCCUCCAGGACUGUGUGGGAAAGAACUCUUCCUUCCACCCUGUAUGAACCUCCAGCAUCCAGGACUGUGUGUUGAAGACCCCUCCUCCAAGGAGAGCGUGUCAGGAACAAGCUCUUAAAAGAGCUAAGUGAUUAAAAGCUCAGGGGAACAUGCAGAGCAUAGCAAUCCCCAGUGUGAUUAUAACAGCUCCCUCCAAUAACGAGACAAGGCUACGUUUAGAGGGAUCAAGAAGAACUGUCAAAACCUUUAUUCCCUUGGGACCAGCCAAUACAGUCACCACAAUAACAUUGUUGUGAAACCUCAAUAAAAUCACAAACAGUCAAACCAUAUCAAGAAACACACAGUGACUUAUCACAACACAAUGGCACAUUUUUAAAGGGGUGGGGGGAGACAAUAUUUAACAGUAAAUAUCUCACCUGCCUGCAGAAUUAGCAAUAUGCAAAUCUACCCGAAUAUGCAAAUGAACCAGUCUUGCAAUUCAGGUAGUGCAUAUUGCUGUUGCUACCAACAGAGGGCACUAGACCAGCUCCAUAGCCAAACCCACCUAGUUGGUAGCAAACCUCAGCAGUACAGGAGAGAAGGCAAUACAUUUCACAGUACACACACACACACUAUAAACAAUUACAUUACACACACCCUGCACCUAUCAUGGGUACAGGGUGACUAAAACAUAGGAUAAAUAAAGCAGCCCACAUAAAUAGUCUGUCUGAAGGUAGACUAGGGGCUUUAAAGCCAGAUAGAUUAAAGAGUCAUAGUCACAGGGGAGGAGGCUGGCAAGUAGGCCUCUCCAGGACCAAGUGGCGAAGGGCACUUCGUCACAGGUGCGAUUCAUGCAAGACCAGCAAAGACUUUGCAUGAACUGGAGGCAUUUUGCCAAGACGAAUGGCAGCUAUGCCACCUGCAAGAAUUAGGGGCCUCAUAGACAAUUAUUACAAAGGACUACACAAUGUCAUUGCUAUAUGGGGCAAUACACAAUAUAUUAAGAACUAAGUGUAUGCAGGCUUUUGAACCGGGUCAUUUCAUUUUUUUUCUUAAAAGAAAAGUGUUUUGCCUGCUCACUCAUGUUUUCUUUAAAAUGGCACAUAUAUUACCAAUUCUCCAAGUGUAUGCAAACUUUUGAGCACAACUGUAUGUAGGGCCGGCCUUAGGCCUUUAGGCGCCCUGUGCGAAAUCUCUUCACAGCGCCCCCCCUCCCCGUCAUCCAUGUAUGAUGUAAUGUUUGUGUUGUCUGUGUAUGUGAUAGUAGGUGUGAUGACUGUGUGUGAUAUGUAUGCUCUAUGUUGUCUGUGUGUGAUAUUUGUAAUGGGUGUAUUAACAGCGUGUGAUAUGCGUGUAUUGGUUGUAUGUGAUAUUUGUGCUGAGUUUAUUGGCUGUGUGUGAUGGUUAUUUAAUUGAGAUAAAAACAUGCAUUUAGGCCUGUGUGUAAAUGCAGGUGUAUAUUUUUGCAGAGUUAUGUGCAUAUAGUCAGAUGCACACAGUUAUACAUAUACACUGUCAAAUCCACACAUGCACACAGUCGCAGGCAGAUAGUCACAUACAUACGAUCAGGCAGAAACACACAGGUACAGGCAGUAACACACAUACACAGUUACAGGUAGAUAAACACACACACACACACACACACACAGACAGCCACACAUACAGUUUUACACACACACAGCCAUACAUACAGUGAGCCACACAUGGUAAGCUCUGCCCCAGCUACAAAUUUAUAUUUUUUUUUAAAUUCCGGCCGGUCAUGUGUGAGCUGUGUCGGCCGCAGGGCGCCCCCUGCUCUGUUGCGCCCUGUGCGCCCACACAUCUCGCACACCCCUAAGGCCGGCCCUGACUGUAUGUUUCAUAAAACCAUGUUGAUUAUUGCUAAUAACACUGCUCCUUCCAAUAAAUUCCUGCAAAUUAUUGAUUUAUAACCCUUCAAAUACUUUCCCAGCCACAGAAGUUAAGCUCACAGGUCUAUAAUUUCCAGGCAUGGAAUUUGAGCCCUUUUUAAAAAUAGGAACCACAUCUGCCUUCCUCCAAUACAAUUCCUGACAGAAAAGAAUCUUAAAAUAUUAAAUACAGAGGUUCACUUAUUUCCACACCCAGCUUCUUAAGUACUCAUGGUUGAAUACUGUCAGGCCCUGGAGCUUUGUUAACAUUAUUUAGUUACAUUAAUUAUUUAGUUGCUGCAGUACCUUGUCUUGAGUCAUCUAAUUAAUGGUUUAUUUCAUGUUUUCUCUUGCCAUAUGAUCUUCUUUAAUAUAUACUUAAGAAAAUAGUUAUUUAAAAUGUCUGCCUUUUCCUUGUCUUCGUUACCUGGCAUGCCCAUUUCUGUUUAUUUGUAAAAAAUAUAUAUAUAUAUUUUUUUAGAAUUUAUGUACUUAAAAAUAUUUUGGGAUCCGGAACACUGCUCCCUAAGGGUGCAGUGACAGCACUGAUUCCACCAGGUAGGCACGAGCACGCAUCUAAGGAUAACACAAUCAUCAGCCCAUCAGACAGGCAGACGGCUGGGACUGACAUAGACACAAGUGGGGAAUAGAGCUACACAACUGGGCACGAAGUAAUCAUAAAAAGGAAAUAACCCCUGUGACCAGACACCACGUAGAAGUACCCCUAUAGCCAGCUAGCCAGAUAGAUCAUCUCAGACCCAGACACCCUGCCCGGGAAGAUAGACACUCCAAAACCCUCCCCCCCAUGUAACGCACGUAAGAAAAACAAAACAAAAAAAAAACCUGUUAUGAGAGUAAUGUACCUGGCGGAUGAUGCCUAUGCCAGAGCGGACUCACUUACAGCAGACAUGGUGCGCGAGUGGGCACAUGAUAUCCAAGAAUGGGCCCAGAGGGGCUUCUGUUUUCUCGGAAAUACGAAUGCAGCCCUCUCAACAGAGCGGCACCGCGCAGCACUUUUCUCCAUAGACCCCAAACUGGCCGAUCUAGGGGUAAAGGAACUGGGCCCACAGGCACAGGGCAAACUCUUCGGUGAAGCCUUUAUGAAAGAGCUGAAUAAACAUGUCAACGUAUUUACCUCACUGAAUAGAGCCCGCAAACGAAGAGGCUUCUUCCGCAAAAAAAAACGGGGAUUUCAGACCGGUGAUCAAUUUAAGAGACCUGAAUGCUCAUGUGACCUACCGUCACUUCAAAAUGGAGGGCAUACACUUACUGAGGGACCUCCUUCAAGAAAAGGAUUGGUUUACGCGUCUAGACCUCAAAGACGCAUAUUUAUCAAUCCCAAUUCACGAGGACAGCCAUCCUUUCCUCCGGUCCCUCUGGAACAGGUCCCCAUGGCAAUUCACGUGCCUCCUUUCCGGACUGAGUUCGGCACCAUGGUGCUUCACAAAAAUUUUGAAACCAGUGGUCACACACCUCAGGACCCACGGGAUCAGAGGCAUCAUUUAUCUGGACGACAGUCUCUCAUUCUGCAGAACGAGGGAACUGGCCAUACAACAUACCGAAUAUACGGUACAAUUAUUAGAAUCCUUCAUUGUCAACAGAGCCAAAUCCGCAAUGAACCCCGUACAGAAAAUCCAAUUCCUGGGCUUUGAGAUAGACUCCAGGUCUUGCACUCUCCACCUCCCGUCUGCCAAAGUGACAGCCAUCAAGAGAGAGAUCCGCAGAGUACUCAAAUUAGACUCCAAUCCGCUCCGUCAACUGGCACGGAUCGUUGGCCUACUGUCCUCAUCGAUACAAGCCAUAUUUCCGGGGCCCCUUCACUACCGUGCUAUGCAACGGCUGAAAGCCAGCUUCCUGCGACGGAACCCCACAUACAAUCAACCAGUUCCGCUGACGGAAGAAGUAUACCAAGAACUCGAAUGGUGGCUCAACUGUAUGCAAGCUGACGGAAGAAGUAUACCAAGAACUCGAAUGGUGGCUCAACUGUAUGCAAGCGUGGAAUGGUCAGGCCAUCUUCGGCAACCAACCGGACUUCGUCCUGGAAUCAGACGCGUGUCGCCUGGGGUGGGGCGCCAUGGAUGGAGAAGCAUCCACAGGAGGAACGUGGACACCACAAGAACUAUCGAUGCACAUCAACUGCCUUGAACUACUGGCGGGGUCAUUUGCUAUACGCAGCCUAGCAAAAGGACAAUCCAACUGUUGUAUACUGCUAUGAAUGGACAACAUAUCGGCAGUGCGGUACAUCAAUCAUUUGGGGGGUACCCGAUCACGAACACUGGUAAAUCUGACGAAGGAAAUCUUCGAUUACUGCCUCCCGCGCAACAUCACGAUACGCGCAGAACACCUACCAGGGGAGUCGAACCUUACAGCAGAUUGGUACUCCCGACACUGGAGAGAUGCAAGCGACUGGCAAUUGAACCCGCGGAUAUUCGCUCACCUACACGAGCAGAAAGGACCCUUUCUAUUGGAUCUGUUUGCUUCACACAACAAUCACCAGGUACCACAGUUCUACAGCUGGCUCCCAGAUCCGGAAUGCUUUGCCGUAAACACCUUCACCCAACACUGGCCAAGGCAAGGGGUGUACGCCUUUCCCCCAUUCGCCAUGGUUGCGAGAGUUCUCCACCAUAUACGAAGACGAAUAGUGCUAACCCUCCUGAUGCCCCUCUGGCCGAGUCAACCCUGGUUCCUGGACCUUCUCGAAUUGUCCUACCAGGACCCGAUUCUACUGCCGAACGACGACAUGCUACUAAGAGACCCAACGGGGAACCCACACCCGAUGCUGUUAGACGGACGCCUAUCCUUGGUAGCCUGGACUCUUUCAGGGGAGCAUGGUGUACCAACGACUUAUCGGCAACAACUAAGGACCUCCUAUGGGACUCCUGGGCCCCGGGAACACGAAAGAGUUACUUAUCCACAUGGUGAUCUUGGACCAGUUGGUGCAUGGGAUGGGACCUGGAUCCCUUUACAGCCCCUGUUUCGGAUAUCAUGAAUUUCCUCUCGUCUCUCUUCGAGGAAGGCAAGUCAUAUCGCACUAUCAAUGUUAUGAGAUCGGCUAUCUCUGCAGCACACGUACCGUCCCAAGGAAGGGUGGUCGGACAGGAUCCGCUAAUAUGUCGUCUACUACGGGGCAUCAAAUUAAGACGACCCCCAACACCUAAAUACCAGCACUUAUGGGAUGUGGAUGUCGUCCUUCGUUUCCUGAGGAACUGGCCCACCAACAAACUUCUAUCCUUAAAACAACUGACGGCCAAAUUCACCUUCCUAUUGUGCAUGGUCUCCUUCCGGAGAGUGGCAGACGUCCGGGCGUUCGACAAAGACGCCUUUUCCAUCGACCCGGAGGGGGUCACAUUCCACAUCUCACGACGAACUAAAUCCAACUCAUCAUCGGUGUUCUAUCCAUUCUUCAACUCGGACCCUCAGCUGUGCGUGGUUAAAGCUCUGCGAGCAUAUGUGGUGGCAACAGAGACGUUACGCCCACCGACAGCACAACAACUAUUGGUGUCAUAUGUCAACCCACACGGUCCGGUUUCGGUCACUACAUUGGCCAGAUGGAUCAAAUGGCUUCUCUCCCUAGCCAGAAUAGACUCUUCCUUUGGUGCACACUCCGUUCGAGGGGCAGCGGCAUCAUCAGCUUUCCUAGCAGGCACAUCUCUGUCAGAUAUUCUACAAAUGGCAGAUUGGUCCCAAGAUUUGACAUUUCGGACUCUCUACUUCCGUCCAUCGUCCAAUGCCGCAUUCGCUCUUCUACCUAAGCAUUAAAAUUGCAAAAUAGGAAGCCUCCUGUCAUGUUAUAAAAUUUAAGAUUAUGCUAGCACAGUGUACUAAUAAUCUUAAUUUUAAUAAUGACAGGAGGCGAGUAUUUUCCUUCCCCUUAUUCUUGAUGUUCCCACCCAAUGGAGGUAAGUUAAGACUAACGGGUAUAGUUGACUCCAAUUUUUAACUGUAUGCACUAAAAUGAUUUGGUAUGGGGAUAUCAUUGCCUAUUUGAGGGGGAUUGCUUUAGAACAUACAUCUUAUGGCUAAUCGAGUGUAAUCAUUGGAAAAUGAAGUAUAUACUCAUAGACACUUGCUUCAUACGGUCUGUCCCGUAUCACUGAUACUAGUCUCUUUCUUUUCAGUUUAACAAGUCUCUAAGAUAACGGAGAAAACUGAAUUCCUACUGAGUUUCCAUGUUGGAUUAAAUUGGGUCAAAUGCAUCGGACACGUUGUCAUAACAUGAACUUGUGAUGUCGCAGUAGUCAAGAGGAAAUGAUUGGCUACGCUUGGACUUGUAUACACCCUGACUUACUCUGAUUGGUUCUUUCUUUAACAGUUUUUUCUUUGCUGCUAUGGAGUUAGUAAAGAAAGUUAAUGCAAAAUAGGAAGCCUCCUGUCAUUAUUAAAAUUAAGAUUAUUAGUACACUGCGCUAUCAUAAUCUUCAAUUAACAUUCCAACUGAAAAUGGAACUGG